ACCUUGACAAAAUUAAAUCUUUGCAUUAUGGAUUUAAUCAUUACAAAAAACGAACUCCAAUAAAAAUGGACAGUAUAGUGGAAAGAGUGCAUACCUAUACCGUAGGACGUUACUCAGUACCAAAUACGUAAAUACGACACACUCGGAUCCACGCUUAUUUUUAGAAAAUUGAACUGAUGAAAUAAUUUCUACAUUUCAGUGUGUUUAAAUUAAAAUUGUAAUGUAUUUAAAUUAUGUAGCUGGAUGUCUAUAAUAUACAAAAUAUUUAAAUUCAUAAUGCAAACAUAUAUGUGCAGAUACGGGCACGUUCUUGCUGUGAACGGAGUACACACAUUACUAUUGAUAAAGAGUAUAGUCCACUAUUACGGACUACAUUUCAUAUAAUGAAGACUACUAAUUGUAAGACCAGUAGUCUCAAAUCAUAAGCUCAUUAUUGACGAGACAGUAGUUUUUGGUAUUUGAUUGAAAAGUUGUAAUAAUUUCGCUACUAAAUUCACAAAAACUGUAACUAAAUCUUUAUUAAAUGUUAGUUUAGUUUUAAGAUAUUACUGUCAAUGCAUAUAUAAUUAGAACAAAUAAUGAAAGCCGUAAAUUCUGUGACGUAUUAAUUUAAUUAUCUCUAUCAAUCUUAUUUACAAUUAUAAAUAAGGUUUUGUGAAUUUAAUAGUGAAAGCUUUUUCAUAACAAAUCAUUAAAAACUUUGACAAAUGGUACUAAUAAUAAUUGCAAUUGAUAUUGGAAUACAAUUAUAUAAUUGGAUAAUUUUAUAGCGUAGAAUAGUUUAAGGAGAGAAAUAAGGCAGAAAAGCAUUCUUAAAAAUAAUAAAUACUAUUUUCAUUUUUAAAAGCAGAUACAAAUAAAAAUUAUAAAUGUUUAUUUGCAAAAAGAAUACAAUUACAGUCAGAAGCAACAAUUAGUCAUUUUGGCUGUUUUUUUGCACAAUCAAAAUAUUAAUGUUAAUUUUUAAUUAAAAUUCGGAUUCACCAUGCAAACUUAUGUUAAAAAACAAAAUGAUUAUUAUACUUCAUUUACAAUAGUCGAGAUCUGAAGUUUUGACUAUAUAAAUAUGGACUGCUAGUCUACUGCUAGUCCCCCCAGGCCCCCACUUUUACUAUGUAAAAGACAUAUACCCGGUGUCGCCGAGCUGAAGUUGGUUGAGAUAUCGAACUUCGAUUGUUAGGCUCCACCCUAGUCAAUAAAAAAAUGUCAAAUAUGUCAAAAUGUAUUAAAUGCUAUGUUGAAAAUUGAUAGGAAGCCGGAAAAAAUUUCAAAUCAAUGGAAAGAAAUUAAAAACAGACUCAGCACCUUUCCUUUACAAGUCGUAAACACGCUGAUUUCACAGGAACCUUCCCUCUCCCCGCAGAAAAUUACUGACUGGGGCAGAGAUUACAUCUUCCAGCUUGGCGACACUAAUUGAUGAAAUCAAGAAGUUUUAACUUAAAUUUUAUUAUCUUACAAUUCGUUGAGGACAAUUUUAGACAGGAGGGUGGUCAAGUUAACGUAAUGACUUAUAUAAUAUUUCACUAUAAUAUAUUUUGAUCAAUCUUUUCUUCACGAUUGCAAUAACAGAAAAUGCUGUAAUUUUAUUAUGAUCAAUAAUCCUUCGUAGUUGCAUGAAUGGAAAAAAGCAUUAAGCAAUUUAUAAUCGAACAAAAUUAUACCUUUAUAAUAAAUGCUUUCUACAGGAAAAAUGAUACGAUAUAACAACAAUAUUGUUUAUAUAACAUUGACAAUAACUGUGUAUUGUAUCAUAAAUGAAUACUAUAAUAUAAUGCAACCUUAUGAAAAAGAAGACAAUCUAUACCAAUCGAUUUACAUUACAGAUUGAAUUAUCGCACGCAAUAUAAGUUACUUGAGAUAUGAACUAUUGCAUGGCACAUUCGCUAAAAAGAAAAGUUUCCAUUUAUUAUUAUAUAGUUUCCUUUAUUUAUUAUUUUAUGUCAGUAUUUAAAUGCCCGCAUUUUAGCUCUUGCGCCAAUAUAAACCAUAUUCAAUAAUUUAUUAUACAACCGAUCAUCACCGGAAUAAUUAUUAACAUACGAGUUUUAAUUCGUCGAAAUAUACGAAAAAUGCCUAUAA